UGUGCCAGCCGCCGCGGUAAUACGUAGGGCGCAAGCGUUGUCCGGAAUUAUUGGGCGUAAAGAGCUCGUAGGCGGUUUGUCGCGUCUGCUGUGAAAACCUGAGGCUCAACCUCGGGCUUGCAGUGGGUACGGGCAGACUAGAGUGCGGUAGGGGUGACUGGAAUUCCUGGUGUAGCGGUGGAAUGCGCAGAUAUCAGGAGGAACACCGAUGGCGAAGGCAGGUCACUGGGCCGCAACUGACGCUGAGGAGCGAAAGCAUGGGGAGCGAACAGGAUUAGAU
rnacentral:rRNA from 1 species